rnacentral:misc_RNA from 1 species
GAAAUGCGAUAAGUAAUGUGAAUUGCAGAAUUCAGUGAAUCAUCGAAUCUUUGAACGCACAUUGCGCCCGCCAGUAUUCUGGCGGGCAUGCCUGUCCGAGCGUCAUUUCAACCAUCAAGCCCCCGAGCUUGUGUUGGGGACCUGCGGCUGCCCGCAGGCCCUGAAAACCAGUGGCGGGCUCGCUGUCACACCGAGCGUAGUAGCAAUCACCUCGCUCAGGGCGUGCUGCGGGUUCCGGCCGUUAAACAGCCUUACAAAACCCAAGGUUGACCUCGGAUCAGGUAGGAAGACCCGCUGAACUUAAGC